CGGGUGCAUACACAUGCACUCGAACGAUGACCCGGAUGCUUGCACCGGUGAUUAGUGGCGAACGGGUGAGAUAACACGUGAGUAACCUGCCCUUGCACUCUGGGAUAAUGCCUGGGAAACUGGGUCUAAUACCGGAUAUGACUCCUCAUCGCAUGGUGGGGGGUGGAAAGCUU
rnacentral:rRNA from 1 species